AUGAAGCUGGAGGGCAGAGAUUGACAGCUCUAAGCCGAGAAACGCCAAGGAUACGGGCAGGCAUUGAAAACUACGAGCGAGGCAGGGAACAGAUUCUCUCUCAGAGCCUCCUGCAAGAACCAACCUUGCCAGAACCUUGGUUUUGGACUUGUGGCUUCCAGGACUCAUGAUUGAGAUAUAAUUGACAUAACAUAUACAGCACACAAUUUGAUGAGUUCUGCCUGUAUAUGUACAACUAUGAAACCAUUACUACAAACAAGAUAACGAAGACAUCCAUCUCACCCCAAAGUGUCCUCAUGCUCCUCUGUAAUCCAACUUUUGCUCCCCAGUCCUCUCUCCAAGCACGAGAGAUCUCAGCAAUUUUACUUCCUAUACACAUGUUUUUGAGAUGAUAGGAGAUGUGCCUUGCAACAUGAGGGGGAGCACAUCUAUAACGUAAACACGUCCAUCUGUUUUCCUAAAACUACAAUAUUGGAGCUGUAUGCUCCAAAUGACAAAGGGAUCGAGGAGGCACCUUUGACCAUUACACGCAAUGACCCAACUGGAAAAUUCUCAUUGCCUAUCUUCAAAGCUCAGUGAUUUGCCUCAUGCCCACGGGGAGGAAUGCUUCUACCAGCAGACACAACAAUGGCUCUAAUGGAUUGGAAGGUGAGGUUUCCACAUGCCACUGAGCAAACAGACCAAAAAAAAAAAAAGACCGUUUAUAACAUUUAUGGGAUGAUUGUGCCCGCCUCCUGAAGAGAAAUGGAAUUGCUGUGGAAAACAAGGACAUGAGCCCCCCGGCUUUCUCUGAAGGAAAAACUUGCCACCGUGCUAGGAGCAGUAUAGUUAGCAGACAGCUUCCAACUAUCAAGUCCUCCCAACUAUCAGCAGAGAGCCAGCUCGCCUGUGGCCACAUCGUUCCUGGAAUAGCCGGUGACAGAGCUGUGUGGCAAUGCUCUUUCCAGAGCUCCCCACCAGGCUGGCAUUAGGUUUGUGCUGCAGUGUGAUUCUUGGGCUCAAUUCUGCUUCUGCUCCCUUAACAUCACGGGUGUUGAUACCCUAACGAACACCUUGCACCCCAGGCUCUACCUAAGUAUCUGCUUCCAGAUAAUCCAAUCGGCACACCUGGCUCACGGUGAAGGGGAGAAGGGCUACCUGUGGGGCUCAGCGGGCUUCCUCCUGUGCUGCCACUGCCACUGCCCAUGGUACCAGUCCGUGCGAUGCUACAGUAACUCGACAGAAACUGGACGGUUAAAAGGCUUGGAUCCUGCAGAAAUUAAGGUCUGGUUC